CCCCUUAGACUUUUCAGAUUACUUGAUUGUCGGCGCAAUGCAUGUAUACAGGCUGUGGUAGCCCGUAGGGUGGUAGAGGACAAUGCGGCUCAUUCCGCCUAUGAAAUGCUUUUGGACUGUAAGUUCUGGCGGGAGGCGAGUUCUUAGGAUGAAAUUUGGCGAACCACAGUUGGAUGGUGUAUGUCAGUGCAUUGGGUUCAAAAUCUGGCUGACCGCUCUUCCGUUCUUUUUUCCUUGUAUUUAUCAUGAAUGGCCUAGGAUCAUAGUUACAUUUAGAGGACCAGUUCGCGAAUGUAUCUCCGGUUCUCCUCACUAUGCAUUGCAUUUGUCUCUCAAGUCGGGAGAAUGCAAGUCAGAUAUGGCCCGAGUACUGAUUAUCAUGUAAAGAGUUGUUCAACAUACCGAAAUAGUUUGUCUAAGCCGUGAGUUCCCUAGGUAUGCUCAGCUAUAUAACUGUGAUUAUGGAAUGAGUCUUUCUUCCGUGACUAAAAUGUGAUUAUGUUCAAAGUCUUUCUUCCGUGACUAAAAUGUGAUGUGUUAAAUCCAACUUGCCGAGUUUUAGUUAAGUAUGUCAAAUCAUCAGGAAGGUUUCAUGAUCCGCGAUGCAAUAAGUUGAUCCAUUGCAAACCGGCAACAAUUCCCAUUAUAAACUGUUCAG
rnacentral:lncRNA from 1 species